rnacentral:rRNA from 1 species
UACGUAGGCAGCAAGCGUUGUUCGGAUUUACUGGGCGUAAAGGGUGCGUAGGCGGUUGUUUAAGUUUGGUGUGAAAUCUCCCGGCUCAACUGGGAGGGUGCGCCGAAUACUGAAUGACUAGAGUGCGGGAGAGGAGAGUGGAAUUCCUGGUGUAGCGGUGAAAUGCGUAGAUAUCAGGAGGAACACCGGUGGUGUAGACGGCUCUCUGGACCGUAACUGACGCUGAGGCACGAAAGCGUGGGUAGCAAACAGG